rnacentral:rRNA from 1 species
GCAGCCGCGGUAAUACGGAGGAUGCGAGCGUUAUCCGGAUUUAUUGGGUUUAAAGGGUGCGUAGGCGGAAGUUUAAGUCAGUGGUUAAACUGCGGGGCUCAACCCCGUAUCGCCAUUGAAACUGGAUUUCUCGAGUGGGUGAGAAGUACGCGGAAUGCGUGGUGUAGCGGUGAAAUGCAUAGAUAUCACGCAGAACUCCGAUUGCGAAGGCAGCGUACCGGCGCCCAACUGACGCUGAAGCACGAAAGCGUGGGUAUCGAACAGGAUUAGAUACCCC